rnacentral:rRNA from 1 species
AGUGAACGCUGGCGGCGUGCCUAAUACAUGCAAGUCGAACGAAGUGGCGCACGGGUGGGUAAUAUAUAUUUAAUCUGCCCUACACAGAGGAACAACAGUUGGAAACGACUGCUAAUACCUCAUAGUGUAGGAUGAGACUAUAUCGUAUCAGCUAGUUGGUAAGGUAAUGGCGUACCAAGGCUAUGACGGGUAACUGGUCUGAGAGGAUGAUCAGUCACAUUGUAAGGGAGACACGGUUCAAACUCCUAAGGGAGGCAGCAGUAAGGAAGUGCGCGCAAUGGGGGAAACCCUAACGCAGCAUCGGCGCGUGGAGGAUUACCAUUUUCGGAGCGUAAACUCCUGUUAUUAGGAAAGCGGUACCUGAUGAAUAAGCACCGGCUAACUCCGUGCCAGCAGCCGCGGUAAUUC